rnacentral:rRNA from 1 species
GUGGGGAAUAUUGGACAAUGGGCGCAAGCCUGAUCCAGCCAUGCCGCGUGAGUGAUGAAGGCCUUAGGGUUGUAAAGCUCUUUCAGUGGGGACGAUAAUGACGGUACCCACAGAAGAAGCCCCGGCUAACUUCGUGCCAGCAGCCGCGGUAAUACGAAGGGGGCUAGCGUUGUUCGGAUUUACUGGGCGUAAAGCGCACGUAGGCGGAUUGGUCAGUUAGAGGUGAAAUCCUGGAGCUCAACUCCAGAACUGCCUUUAAUACUGCCAGUCUAGAGUCCAGAAGAGGUGAGUGGAACUCCUAGUGUAGAGGUGGAAUUCGUAGAUAUUAGGAAGAACACCAGUGGCGAAGGCGGCUCACUGGUCUGGUACUGACGCUGAGGUGCGAAAGCGUGGGGAGCAAACAGGAUUAGAUACCCCUGUAGUCC